GCCCACAUAGCUCAGCUGGUGGCAGCGAAUGACUGUUAAUCAUUAGGUCCUUGGUUCAAGUCCAAGUGUGGGCGCCA
rnacentral:tRNA from 1 species